rnacentral:lncRNA from 1 species
CCAUGUCCUGUUAACUAGGAAAAAAAUGAAAAAAAAAUACAAAUUUUAUUUACCUUAUAUCAAGAAAUCACAACAUUUACACAUGAGAAUAGUUACAGGCCAUAUUUUAAUUAUGGUUUUUAAAAAAAAAUUUGCAAAAAAUGGAACAUUCAAUGAGUCAUGAAUGAGAUCAAUUGUUUUUGAGAUCAGUCAUUUAUUGAGUGGUGGGAACUUGAAUAUCAACUUGGGAAAGAAUGGAGGUAGAGGCAGGCCAAUGAAGUGUUGGAAAUUAGCAGUUGGGACUGAUUUAAAGGAGCUGAGAAUUAGUGACGAUUUGGCGAGGAAUAGGAGAGAGUGGAAGAGUAGAAUAGCCUAUCCCGACCCCUUUAUUAAAGGGAAAACG